GACGAACGCUGGCGGCGUGCUUAACACAUGCAAGUCGAACGGAAAGGCCCUGCUUUUGUGGGGUGCUCGAGUGGCGAACGGGUGAGUAACACGUGAGUAACCUGCCCUUGACUUUGGGAUAACUUCAGGAAACUGGGGCUAAUACCGGAUCGGAGCUCCUGCUGCAUGGUGGGGGUUGGAAAGUUUCGGCGGUUGGGGAUGGACUCGCGGCUUAUCAGCUUGUUGGUGGGGUAGUGGCUUACCAAGGCUUUGACGGGUAGCCGGCCUGAGAGGGUGACCGGCGACAUUGGGACUGAGGUAAGGCCCAGACGCGUACGGGAGGCAGCAGUGGGGAAUAUUGCACAAUGGGCGGAAGCCUGAUGCAGCAACGCCGCGUGCGGGAUGACGGCCUGCGGGUUGUAAACCGCUUUCGCCUGUGACGAAGCGUGAGUGACGGUAAUGGGUGAAGAAGCACCGGCUAACUACGUG
rnacentral:rRNA from 1 species